rnacentral:lncRNA from 1 species
AGUCUCCAUCACACAGUUAUCAGCUACUUGCCUGGGGUUAGAUCUUCAUUACUGUUUGAACUGCUGCUCCUGGCCGGGGGCUCCUGGGACGCCAAGCUGCCUUCGUGCCUCUCUGCAUCUCCCUCGGCCUCUGGCUCAGCCGCCCUGCCACUAGGAACCAGGUACACUUCACCUGAUUAAGCUUCAGCGUGUGCGACACACCCAUAAAGGGAGGGAGGAGAGGAAGGGGCUCCUGAGUAGGGGAUAGGCCACUCCUGUCCUGCUGUGAUUGGCUGCUCUGAGCCUGGGCGAGAGACUGGGCUGGAGUCUGGGGAGAGCCUAAGGAAGUCCUCCAAGUACUGCCCAAAUGAGAGGCACAGGGGAGAUUGCUUGUGUGGCCCAGAAGUAAGGUCUUAGGAAGAACUCUGCAAGCAAUGCAGAGGGAACACGCGGGGGAUCGGGGAGGGGUGCCCUUUGUUUAAUAGAGAUGAUUCUAGAGUGGCUUUCAUGGGACUGGUUAGGCUGGGGCUGUUUGAGGAUUACCAGAUCCUUUUAGGCUAAACGGAGGGGGACAGAGCUGCAGUGGUUCUCUAGCACAGUUCCAAGGCAGCAUGGUGGUGGUGGUGAUGAUGGUGAUGGUGGUAGCGGCAGGGAUUGGCUUUGGCUUUGCACAGCUGGAGCUGCCAAGGACUGCAGAAUACAGAGAGGGUGAUACAUUUGUAGAACGACCCAAAGCCAGAGUACUGGAGCCCAUGACUGUUGCCUGGAACUGUCCUCAAGACUCCUUGAGGAAAAUGGCCCAAA